rfam:Caenorhabditis tropicalis strain JT1373 unplaced genomic scaffold Scaffold200, whole genome shotgun sequence.
GCACGGGGCCCGAGAAAUCCCGUGUGAAUCUGUCCAGGACCACCUGAUAAGCCUAAAUACUCCCAGAUGAACCGAUAGCGGACUAGUACCGUGAGGGAAAGGUGAAAAGUACCCCCGGGAGGGGAGUGAAAUAGUACCUGAAACCGUUUGCUUACAAUCCGUUGGAGCACCCUUGUAGGUGUGACAGCGUGCCUUUUGAAGAAUGAGCCUGCGAGUUAGCGAUAUGUGGCGAGGUUAACCCGUGUGGGGUAGCCGUAGCGAAAGCGAGUCUGAAUAGGGCGAUUCAGUCGCAUGUCCUAGACCCGAAGCGAAGUGAUCUAUCCAUGGCCAGGUUGAAGCGACGGUAAGACGUCGUGGAGGACCGAACCCACUUAGGUUGAAAACUGAGGGGAUGAGCUGUGGAUAGGGGUGAAAGGCCAAUCAAACUUCGUGAUAGCUGGUUCUCUCCGAAAUGCAUUUAGGUGCAGCGUUGCGUGUUUCUUGCCGGAGGUAGAGCUACUGGAUGGCCGAUGGGCCCUACAAGGUUACUGACGUCAGCUAAACUCCGAAUGCCGGUAAGUGAGAGCGCAGCAGUGAGACUGUGGGGGAUAAGCUUCAUAGUCGAGAGGGAAACAACCCAGAUCACCAACUAAGGUCCCAAAGCGCGUGCUAAGUGGAAAAGGAUGUGGAGUUGCUGUGACAACCAGGAGGUUGGCUUAGAAGCAGCCACCCUUGAAAGAGUGCGUAAUAGCUCACUGGUCAAGUGAUUCCGCGCCGACAAUGUAACGGGGCUCAAGCACGCCACCGAAGUUGUGGCAUUCGUACUGAGGCAAGCCUUCGUGGUUCAGCCGUAUGGAUGGGUAGGAGAGCGUCGUGUGGCGAGUGAAGCGGCGGAGUGAUCCAGUCGUGGAUGCCACACGAGUGAGAAUGCAGGCAUGAGUAGCGAAAGACGGGUGAGAAACCCGUCCUCCGGAAGACCAAGGGUUCCAGGGUCAAGCUAAUCUGCCCUGGGUAAGUCGGGACCUAAGGCGAGGCCGACAGGCGUAGUCGAUGGACAACGGGUUGAUAUUCCCGUACCGGCGAAGAACCGUCAAACGCUGAUCCAGGAGUGCUAAGCAGGUGAAGCAUCCUUUGAGCCUUCGGGUUCUGUGGGUGUGGAGGUUGCGAACCCGAUCUGGUGAGGUGAGCGUAUUAACAGGUGUGACGCAGGAAGGUAGCUGGUCCCGGGCGAUGGUUGUCCCGGGCUAAGCAUGUAGCCCGUCUCUGAGUAAUAUUUAGAGGCUUUGGGUGAGAUGUGAUGGGGACCCGUAUGGGGAAGUCAGUGAUCCUAUGCUGCCGAGAAAAGCAUCGACGCGAGGUUUUAGCCGCCCGUACCCCAAACCGACUCAGGUGGUCAGGUAGAGAAUACUAAGGAGAUCGAGAGAAUCGUGGUGAAGGAACUCGGCAAAAUGCCCCCGUAACUUCGGGAGAAGGGGGGCCAUCCGCUUAUACCAACUUGCUUGGGAAAGGGUGUGGUGGCCGCAGAGACCAGUGGGAAGCGACUGUUUACUAAAAACACAGGUCCGUGCUAACACGCAAGUGGACGUAUACGGACUGACGCCUGCCCGGUGCUGGAAGGUUAAGAGGAGAGGUUAGACUUCGGUCGAAGCUUUGAAUUUAAGCCCCAGUAAACGGCGGUGGUAACUAUAACCAUCCUAAGGUAGCGAAAUUCCUUGUCGGGUAAGUUCCGACCUGCACGAAUGGCGUAACGACUUCCCCGCUGUCUCCAACGCAGACUCAGUGAAAUUGAAUUCCCCGUGAAGAUGCGGGGUUCCUGCGGUUAGACGGAAAGACCCCGUGCACCUUUACUAUAGCUUUACACUGGCAUUCGUGUCGACAUGUGUAGGAUAGGUGGUAGACUUUGAAGCAGUGGCGCCAGCCAUUGUGGAGUCAUCCUUGAAAUACCACCCUUAUCUAUAUGGAUGUCUAACUGCGGCCCGUUAUCCGGGUCCAGGACCGUGUAUGGUGGGUAGUUUGACUGGGGCGGUCGCCUCCUAAAGAGUAACGGAGGCGCGCGAUGGUAGGCUCAGAACGGUCGGAAAUCGUUCGUCGAGUGCAAUGGC